UUGCUAUGGCAACACUGCUUCCCAGACAGUCUCUCAGAGAGGGCGGGCCUAGGGUAGACUCACUCCAGCUUCCUCAGGACUGGGGCAUUUUGUGUGAGUGGGUGGGGCGUGAAGAGAAAGGGCAUCAGUUUGCUGCUGAGGCUGGAGUACACAGCCUUUCUGCUUUGGUGAAAGCUGCAGGGCAUUCAGAUAAUUGGGUUCAUCCUCUGAAGUGGACAUGAGUGAACAACAGUCAUUAGAAUUAUAAGGCCAGAGUUGUAAAGGCCUUCAGUGGUCAUUGUUUAUACAAAUCCCUCAUUUUACAGAGUUGGAAAUUUAUGGCCAAAGAGACUGAUUUCCCAGGUCUCAUAGUGAAAGAAAAGAAGUUAGAAUCCAUAUCUGAUUAUUAUUCACCAGCCCUGCACACAUUGUUUUUCUUUGCCAAUGUUUAUUGAAGACCUAUUAAGUCUCAGGCUCUGAGAUGUUGACCCUGAGAAUAUGACCAUGGACAAAAGACAGAUAAGCUUGCUGUUCUUGUGGAGCUUUCAUCUAAUAAAGGAAAAGAAAAAUCGGUAUAUGUUUGUGAGAAAGGACAUAGGUCAGUUUGUGAUAACUGCUAAUUAAAAGGAAAAAGAAAGGCAAGGUCAAUUUUAGGACAUAAGACCUCUUGAUUUUACCAUGCCAUGUUUCCCAGAGCAUACAGAGGCCUAGAACAUCUUUGAUACUUCUCCAUGAGUUACUGUUCCCUGGCCUUUGUAGGGUAUGUAAGGCCAGGCCAAAUGGUAGUGGCAAUGAGGUAGAACAAGAUGGGGUUGCUGAGGGAUUGUUCCUUUACUACACUGUUCUGUAUCUCUACCUGUCUUCCCAGUAAGGUUUUACUCUGCAAUUUUGGUCAGGGUGUUAAGAAUUUCUUUAAUCCUAUUCCUUAAUAUUAGGGAACCAGCCAGCAAGGAAGUCAGUCUAGGGGAAUUAGGUUCUUUUUCAGGGCUUUCCCCUCAUCUGAGGUAAGGAGAAGGGAGCCUAAAAGAACUGUCACUUGCUUGCCCCCCUAAGUCUAAAGCAAAAAGAGCAAAUAGGGAAGGACAGCUUCUUUUUACUGUCUGGCGACAACCUGAUGGUCUUGGGUAGCUCACAAUAAAGUAGAAACAAGAACCUAAGGCUUUUCGUUGCCUCUCAACUGUAGAAUAAUGGACUUUACUUCUUUUGGCUUUUAUGUUUGCCUCCUACUUCUGUGGAUGACAGAAGAAUCCUGACUGAUUUCUGAUAACCUGUAUGACUUCCUGAUAAGUUCAGAGGGUGAGCUAGACAGAUCUAUCCAUUUUCUUAGGUUGCUUCUAGAAAAGGUCCUCUAAAAAGUCUUUGAACACCCAAUUCUUGCAGAGGUUUCCAUCCUGGUCAUUUAAAGAAUAGGAGGACAGGGUUAGAGAUGCUUUUUCUGUUGCCACUUUACUUAGCUAGAUCUGGGAUAGGGCCUGAGGCCCAGUGACUCAAGGGGAGGAUUGGGAGUUUCGAGGGAGCUGUGAGUCAUGAGGAUAAGCUCCAUCACAAGAGUUGGGCUCAUUUCCUUAGCUCUGGGCAGAAGCCCUCCUAUCCUGCUUCCUAAUGUGCUCUGCUCUUUGAAUAUGGACUUGUGAGCAAAAAGUGCUGGCAACUGGGAUGGGGCAGCCUGAUCUCGGAUUAGGAGUUCAGAGACACGAAGAAUAAUACCUAGGUUCCUGAAAUUAAAAUUUACCCUUAAAUCAGGAGUCCUUGGACCCCUCUAACAAAGGCAAAGGAACAUAAAUUAGCUGUAGGAAAAGGAUGAAUACCAUUUCUCAGCACGGUGAAGAUAGGGUAUUAAAUUAGAUCUUCUGCUCUGGCAUCAAGCUUCCUGGGCUCCAGCAGUCCUAUGGCUUUGAGCUCUGGUUUGGAAUGUGGGGAGAGUAGAAUGGGAAUGGGUAUAUUUGGGGGUAGGGUCUGGUGUAAGAAGAGCAGGCUGAUUUGGGGGGUUGUUGAAUUGCGUAUGUGAAAGCGCUGUGACUUUCUGUUAAUCAGUCUCGGAACAGGAAGGAUGGGGGAGGAGGGUUGAGAAGUGUGAGGCCUGCACCUUUGAAAGGGUUAAAUGGCAGGACAGGAGUUGCUUUGGCAGCUGAGGAGUUAAGGAGAUGGGCGGGGCGACCGUGGGUAGGCCUGCCCCCUUGUGGACCAAUAGGCGUGCACCUACAGUAGAGGGCGUGACUUACACUCAGGAUCGCAGGGAGGCUGGCCUCCUAUAAGCCAAUGAGCAUGGUUGCUGCUCAGGGGGCGUG
rnacentral:lncRNA from 1 species